UACAUAGGGUGCGAGCGUUAAUCGGAAUUACUGGGCGUAAAGCGCGCGUAGGCGGCUUUGCAAGUCGGGUGUGAAAUCCCCAGGCUUAACCUGGGAACUGCAUUCGAGACUGCAUUGCUAGAGUAUGGGAGAGGGAAGUGGAAUUUCAGGUGUAGCGGUGAAAUGCGUAGAUAUCUGAAGGAACAUCAGUGGCGAAAGCGACUUCCUGGACCAAUACUGACGCUCAUGUGCGAAAGCGUGGGGAGCAAACAGG
rnacentral:rRNA from 1 species